UCGGCGUCAGCUCCCUGGCCGGGGCCGCCAGCGCCCGCGGCUCGGCGCGCUCCGCAAGCUUUAGCUCUCGCUCCCCCGUCCGACCGCUCGGGCGCCCUGCAGUCUCGCCGGGUGCCGCUGCGCGCCCCGACUCCUUCCCCGCCCAGGCCCGUUCCCGGAGCCCGGGAACUGCCGAGCGAGCUCAGGGAUCGCUCCCUGAGUCUUGGUGUCGGACACCGUCCGCCUCCACUCCUAUCCUGGCAACGCAGUGGCGAAAUACAGGGCACAAGAGACCUUUAGUGGCGCUCCGUCUUGCUUCCUGGUGACCCAGACUUUGGUCAGGAGAGUGCCACAGCCCAACGGGGCUGGGGACAGCAGGCGUGGAGCAUGCCUUGGCAUUUCCCGUCAACCCUACUCCUCCACCAUCGGAGCUGGAAAUGACUCCCACCAGUCUCAGCUUUGGCUGCUAGAGAAGAUAAAAAGGGCAUAGCACCGAAAAGCAGAAAGGUGGUGGGUGAUCAGUACCCACAUACAGGAAGGUGGCCAUUCGGUCUAGGACCUUCACUGAGUGAAGGAACUGCUGGAGGCGGCGGGAGAUGGUUAAAUGAAUUCUUAUUCCACAACUAUCUAGAAGUAAAAAUUACUAUAAAUUGAAUGAUGAAAACUUCAGGUCAUUCCUUUCAAAGUCGUUUCCAGUGUUGCAGGGAGAAAAAACGCAACCCACAGCCACAACAAUAAAUGAGGUAUGAGAUUUAAUUCUGGAUAUUACAGGGAGGCUUAAUGAAGCAGAGAAGUGGAUUUCCGGAGAAGAAGAGAUUAAAGUCUGGAAAAGAAGUAUACUUGUCUGGAGAUUAAAAAAUAAACAACUUUGAACGGUCAAGGAACCUGGAAACCUAGCUCAUAAAGGUAACAUCUGUGCCCUUAAACUAACUUAAGAAGUGAUAACGGAAAUUUUGACCUUUUCUUCUGAAAUCAUGCAAAAUAUGCAACGAAGACACCCUGGCCUGGGUUCCCCCCAACAGCAGAGCCUGAGACAAGGUUUAUGCAAACAUCAAAUGUGGCAUCCCACAUGGCAGCAGCGGAAAGGCACUGGGGUAGAAGAUGAGUGAUAAUGAGGUUACCCCGGAAUGCAGUUGGUUGGCUGCCAUGCAAAGCAGAAUGAACAUGAUGGCCGAGGGAGGCUUCGCCUGUACCACUGUUUGGAAUGUCCCGUUCUGUGUUAUCCUGGAAGUUUUUACACCAUAAUUCAGUUCACAGUGUGUGAGAGGUUGGUUUCCAACUCCUGGCCUCAAGUGAUCCUCCUGCCUCAGCCUCCAAAGCGUUAUGAUUGCAGACAUGAGCCACUGUGCCCAGCUGAGGUUAUUUUCUAUGUAAAUCUUGAUGUUCUGGAAUUGGUGUUCUGUUUUUCCUCUGUUAAUGUAUGUUUGGAGGUGGUGAUUAAAUCUACGAUUCCAUCCAUAAUGUGAAAAACUGAGGUAGAGCUACAAGAGGAGAAGACUACUUGGAGAAAAAUACCUUCAUGGCAUCACCUCAGGACAGAAUAGCUGCUGUGAUCUUGGAUUGUUGGGUAGAAGUAAAAGUAAUUAUGAUUUUAAUGUGGAUACUCUAAAUAUGUCAGAGAACCUGCUGGACUCACUGCUGCUGGUUGGAGCAGCUCAAUAGGAGACACAUCUCUCUCCUCGACCAUUCCCCACGUGGCUACCUAAACCAUUUCCCUUGUGGCUACCAGGCACGGACUCUCAGCCAAGACCAGCUGAUGCCAUGGAUGACCGAUGCCAAGUCAGCAUCCCUGUUGAGAACUGCAGUGAAGGAAAGGAGAGAGCACUGUUGAUGGUUGGUUCUGAACCCUUGAGCUAUAAGUUCAUGCAGACCUAGGGACUGAGGGAACAAAUAAUGGGUCAUCCACAGGAAAGGAAACCUGAAGGAGAAAGAAAAAUGACAAUGUUAAGAAAUGAUGAAGAGAUAGUAAUGGUGCUAAAGAUGGUGAAGAGAGUGCAGAGAUAACAUUGGAGAAAGAGAUGAUGACAAAGACUAGACAGAAGAAAAGACUUUCCAGAGAGAUUGAGAGCGCUUUGUGCCUCACGUUUCAAUUCCCAUCUCCUACCCCCAGGAGACACAUAUUUGACUUUGGAGCCCAUCUAAAAUAACAGAUACCGCCUCUGCUCUCUACAGGCUUACAAUAUUAAAGAAACAGCACUCAGAUGAACCAUCAUAUACAGAAGAUUGAGACAUUAAAUGCAGAAGGGUAAGUAUACACAAAGCAUAAUACAUUGGAAAUAAUAGUCCAUUUUACUUGUUGCCCUUAGAAAGCAUGAGAUUGUCUCACAUUCUCUGAACAGACCCCUCUUGCUUUCUUGAACUGGCAUGAGAGAAUUUAUUUUCCAUGUAACAAGAAGAGCCUUGACUACAGUACAUCAGUUAAUGAGAGACAUUUUCCAAAGCUUGGCAGAACAGAGUCAUCAGGUUUCUAGAUCCUCGGGGAGUAAGAUCAGAAUCUACAGUGACCCUGUGAAUUGGGAGGAGAGAUGGAAGCAUGGACAGUGCAAGGUAGUGUGAUUAUGCAGGGGAAAUAAAAACAACCUUUGAAAAACAACGGGAAGGCGAUGGGCUACGUGAAAUAUGUCAUGUGGUAGUGCAUGUAGUUGUAAUGAGCAGUAAUGGCAGAAUAGAGACUGCAUCUGGGCCGGCCAUGUAGCCAGUUGGUUUAAAAAGCAAAAUUAGUUCAGUGAUAAGCACAGGCAGGGCAUAUUUGAUACUGGAGAAAAUGUUCCUUUUAUACUCAGCAUUGCCAACUUCAGACCAGUAAAAUGUAGUAUUUGUUAUUGCAUAUUUGCCUGUGCUACUCUUCUAAAAAAUAUGAUAUCUGUUCUCCAGCAUCUUACAGGCUAAAAGAGACAACACUCAGAUUAACUUCUACAUGAAGUCUUGAAGAUUCAAUGCAGAACUUACAAGUAAAGCAUUGUAAAUACUUUAGGAACACAUGUUCUGUUAAUUUAAAAAAGCACUUUCAAUAUGCCCUAUGUUUUUAAUAGCAAUCAAUGUUCUUAAUCAGAACCAAUAUCUCCUAUGUUGUUAAGACUUUGGAGGCAGAGCUGAGUUCAGAGGCUGCCUGUGCUGUCCACCUGUUGGGGCCCAUGGACAAGCUGCUUAGCCACUUGGAGUCAUAGUUUUCGAUUUGAAUAAUAGCAAUGAUAACCAUCCUGCAGGGUUGCCAUCUUUGUACUAGACAUAGGAAAUUUAGUUUGCUACAGUAUUGCCACUUGAUAUGGUUUGGUUCUGUGUUCCCAUCCAAAUCUUACCUUGAAUUGUAA